rnacentral:misc_RNA from 1 species
UCGAAUGAAAUCAGAGUCGGUUGUAGCUGGCCUCUUCACUGGGGUAUGUGCACGCCUUCUCUGUUCAUCCACACACACCUGUGCACUUGUGAGACGAAUGGUCUCUCCCCUACGCGGGGGGGAUGGUUCGUCUAUUAUACAUAAACUCCAUUAAUAUAAAUCUGAAUGUCAUUUGAUGUAACACAUCUUUAAAC